rnacentral:lncRNA from 1 species
ACAAAUGAAACAUAAAUACCAGAAUCAAGAAUCACAGUGACAGGAUCAAGCCAUAAAUGUUCGGCAUCACAUGAUUCAGGUUAACAUAGCAGUAAACUUAAAACAGCAUCACAAGCUACUUAAUUUAACUACACCAGCCACACAUGGUUCAGAUUAACAUACGGCAAUGCCCAAGCUACUUAAUUUAACUACACCAGCCACACAUGGUUCAGAUUAACAUACGGCAAUGCCCAAGCUACGUAAUUUAACUACACCAGCCACACAUGGUUCAGGUUAACAUAGCACCAAACUUAAAGCAGUGCCCAAGCUGCUUAAUUUAACUACACAAGCCACACAUGGUUCAGAUUAACAUAGCACCAAACUUAAAGCAGUGCCCCAAGUUAUUUAAUUUUAACUACACCAGCCACCUGAUUUGCACCGGAUAUUGUUUCUAGGCAGAGACUUGAGUUGCCUGAUUGUUCACGGCUGGCUUCCAUUCUGGCUAC